rnacentral:rRNA from 1 species
UACGUAGGGGGGCGAGCGUUGUCCGAAGUUACUGGGCGUAAAGCGCACGUAGGCGGCAUGGUAAGUUGCAUGUAAAAAGGCGGCAGCUCAACUGCCGAGUGUGGUGCAAGACUGCCAGGCUUGAGGCAAGUAAAAGAAUGUGGAACUCCGAGUGUAGCGGUGGAAUGCGUAGAGAUUCGGAAGAACACCCAUGGCGAAGGCAGCAUUCUGGACUUGACCUGACGCUGAGGAGCGAAAGCGUGGGGAGCGAAUGGG